AGAAACUCAAACAAAUGUACAGCUAUUGAAUGCCGAGACACCUACCAAUAGUCAAAUCUACGAGGUCACCUCGACCUAAUUACUGACUGCCUCCUGAUCUGAAAACAUGAAGUUGAAAACGGUGAGUAUAAACCCAGUGAGUGAACAGAAAGGGAACAAGCAAUCAAUAGGAAAAUUUUGAAAAUCAUGCUGCACUUAUUUCAAAACAAUGCAAUCUAGUUUUACUCUUAUUAAAACCCCUCUUUAGACCCUUAAAUGGUUAAUCACUUGAUAAUGAUGAAUCCACACAUAACAAAGAAAUUGAAGAAUGAAGGUUUCAGCGAGAAUGCCUUUCCGGUGCAACGAAGUUAGGGCUCGAGUUACUAGCUAGACGAGGGUUUCUCAACCGACCGAGGGUUUCUCUCAAAAUUUCCUCAUUCCAAACUUAGUUAGAUAAUCCCCAAACAUGUUGGAAGUCCAUGCUUAACUAGGGUAUAAAUGAAAUGGAAAAAAAUGGCAAAAACCCACAAGAUAGCCAAAUGGAUAGAAGGUUUCUCGUUGCAGGGAGAUUUUUUCUCGCUGUAGCGAGUUUUACUUGGCCAAAAUAGAAAGUUUCUCGCUGCAGGGAGAACCAGGUCAGGUGAAGGUCCUCAAACUCGAAAGUUUCUUGCUGCAAGCAGAAUGAAUCUCACUGCUGCGAGAAACAGAGCACCAAGAAAAAGGUUUCCUUUCUUUCAAGAAAAAGCCAUCCUGCUAAAAUGAGAAACGCAACUUGAAACACAAACAAUUUCCCAAAGUUCAACAUGCCAAAUUCAUAUGCAUUUCAACUAUAAACCAUAUUCAUGAGUUUUCAUUCUCUAAACAUAUAUACAUAUACAUACAUGGAUAAAUACCAAUACCACUAUCAUCUCAUCCAGCUCAUGUGCAUCCCCCCACAUCGUGCACAUAGCCGGACUCAUAGUGUGCAUCCCCCCACAUCGUGAACAAUCAGUGGCAUCGUGUACAACCCCCCACAUCGUGCACACAGGGCACUAUCAUCAUCCAUCUCCCUCACCACCACCAUUACCGACAUGUGCAUUCCCCCACAUCGUGCACACACACGGUUGUAAUCAUCACACAAUAUCAACCAUCAUGCACAACAUAUAUAUAUCUAUAUAUAUACCAACAUAAUGUAGUAGUGCAUGAAUCCAUAACAACCGCAUGUCACAAAAUAAAAUUAAUUUAUCAAAGGCUUGUUCUCAAGGCACUUGUUUUUAAGGAAAGUUGGAUAAAAUAAUUCAAGUAUAUUGUGCAAAUAAGUUUACAUUCCCAAAACAAAUUUUGAAAUGCAAGUUCACUCACCGGUAUUUUGUUAAAUCCUUACUCAACUCCAACUUCCUCUAUUGGUCCAAAUGGGGUGAUGGGGCUUCGUUGGAACCUAUUAUCACAUUAGCAUCACCAUUAAGUCAAUUCACAUACUUAUAAAAUCUAAAAGCUUUUUCUUAGUUAGCUUUCAAAUUCCCAUUUAAGUGCCUAUCUAAGUUCACUAUUCUAAUCACUCUAAAGUGAAUAUGUCAUGACCCGGAACCUCCCUCAGGCCCAUGACAACCGCCGCGACGUCUCGAUUGACACUCAUUACCCGAAAUGCCAACCGAAACCCCGCAAGGCUUUCAUAUCAGUUUCUUUCCUUUCUUGUGAGCAAUUGUUGUUAAACAUUCCAUUUUAAACAAUUACAGGUCGUCUCUGGUUCAAAUAAAUCCAAAGAUAAUUUUAUUUUUUUAAAGGAUUUAUAGACAAAUAUCACUAUUCAAAAUAUUGAUUAAAAUAUAGCAUUUUUAUAUAAAACAAUAUUUGUAGAAACACAUGUAAGAAAUCUUUUGUAAUGUGUAAGUAAAAUAAAUUCAUACAUACAAAAAUUUACUAAGUUAUAAAGUACAAUAAUGGUUACAAUGACAAGUGGCCCAAAAUACACCCAGUGUUGGUGCUAGAAACCUACUGCUUGUGUGGUAGAGAUGUCAACUGGAAUCCUCGACAAAAUAGGGUAUCUAUAAGCUACCACAAACCUGAAAUGUUUGGAAAGGAGGUGGGUGAGAUUUUGCAAUCCCAAUGAGUAAACAGACAUUAUCAUAAAUAUCUAAAGGCGAGUAACAGGGAGGCAAGUUUAAACAACGAAUCACAAACCAUUUCAUAAUGUUUUCAAUUUAUUUCUUAAACCAUAAAAUAUUUGUAAUUUACCAAAACAGUUGUUAAGGCUUAUGUCUUUUAUAAAAGAAAACAAGGCUCAAGCCAAAACUAAUCCUCGGGGAUACCUUGGUCGAGGCAUCUAACCGAGUCCGUCAAGGUUGUUAUAACAUUUACAUGUGAAACACAUUUUUAUUUUUAAAACAAGCCGUUCCUUGGAGUUGGCCGAGUUACACAUUCACAUGGGGGUUCAAUGUGAAAUGAGCUCUAAUACUACCCCGGGAGUUACCUUCCUCGCCUCUACAACUGGAGUAACUAUAUAACCGGGUUUACCGUGCCCCUCUAAUAGACAGUUCAUGAAAACUCGUCACUGCAAUGACCAACCCACCAAUUUUAAUAAAAUUUCGACAGUAUAACGUGGCUUUUAUUUAUUUGUCCAGCCUACAUAGUAAAAACAACUUACAUAAAUUUCCCAGUUUACUUACAAAAUAUAGCCACAUAUACUCAUAUCUCAUGAGCCAUUCAUAGGAAAAUAUCUAAUUUUCAAGACAGUUAAUAGCCUCCAAUUACUCAAUUUCAUAAUCAACCUAAUAUAUCUUUAUUUGUCACAUUUAUUUGUAAAACAUCAAAAAUCCCGUUUUAAUCUCGUUUUCAUUUCAUAAAAUAAAUAAAGAGCAUUUAAAAAUAAACUCUAGAUAAUUUACAAUAAUAAUAAGUUUACUCACCGUUUGUUUGUACAAACUAAAAGCUUUCUAGGUGCCCCGAUAACUACCCAUCGGGUACGAUUUCCUUGCCUUUACCGGAAGGCUCUCCUCCUAGACACAUUGCAAAAAUUUACUCAAUUCAUCACAUUAAUGCUAAAUCACUAUAUAUUUGACUUAAAUCCUAUACUAAUGCAUGGUAUGAAAUGCAAUAGCCAAAAAUGGCUUAAACGCGGUAUUAACCUAUUUUUGGCACUUUACCCGAUAAAUUGCUAACGCGCUCCAUUUUAGCUCUAAAUUGUUCCAUUUUCUCUCCAACAUUUCUAACCAUUAAUUAUCAGCCAAUAUUCCUCUAAAAUCAAAAAAAUCAGCUCACUUUCUUCCUUGAAAAAUUUGGCCAAAAAUGGGACAUUAACUCAAUUAAUUUUCCACUUUGUUUUUCUAUCACAUUUAACCAUUUUUCAUCAUUUUCUCUUCAUUUCUCUUAGAAUAAAAAUCAGAUUAUCAUCAUUGUAUCUCAUUGCAGAUUCGGCCAAGGGUGGGUAUUGUGAAAAUUUAAUGCUUUCUUGCCCAAUUUAUUUUCUAAACACAUUUAACUAACUAAAACUAUCAAUUUAACUAAAAAUCAAAACCUAAAAAUUUCAAAAUCUCUCCCCUCGAAUUUCGUCCAGCCCUUGAUGUCACUUUUAGAUCUCUCUCCUCAAGCAUGCUAAAUGGACACAAAGGCAAAAGAAAGGUAAAAAUCAAGCUAAGGUCGAAAAAUCUUACCGUUAGACGCGUAAACGGGAGAAAAACGCGAAUUCCCUUUUGAAUUUUCUUGUUUCUCUUUGGUUUUUCUUUUUUUCUUCCUUUCCUCUCUAUUUUCUCUCUUGUUCUCCCCUAUGGCUGGCCAUCACUUAAAAUAGGGUUUAAAUGGGCUGACUUUUCAUUAAAAUAAUAUUAAACCAUUAAAAAAAUGCCAUGUGUCACUUUCCCAUUGGUCCGUUUUUAAAAUUUCAUCCAUUUGUUUCUAAAUUUUCACCCUACACUUGUCCCACAUAUCCAUAGGUAAGAUAAAAUUUUCAGACUUAUCCAAAGUCUUGGUGGAGUAAUUUUUGAAAUUUACACUUUUGCCCUCGUAAAAGUCAAAAAUUACAUUUUUGCCCCAAAAAUUGAAAAAUUGCCCAUAGACAUAUUUUUCAUCCCUUAUACUCAUACCAUUCUCCAAUUUGUCAAAUGUGAUCUAAAUUCUCUCAAAAUCUCAAAUUUUAUCCACGGGUGGAAAAAUUACGAUUUUACCCCUAAACAUCAAAAUUUUCAAUUUUUCCCCAAAUGAAUCCUCGAACUCCGAACAAUCAUUUUUAGUCAUUCCUAGACUAUAAAAUAUUAAAUUUGAUGCUACAAUUCCUAUUUGAACUAGUUCGAGGUUAAAUCAACUCAAGUGUACCGUUAGGUACGUCACCGGGUUUCCUCUAUUCUUAGGUGUUUUCCUAGCAUAAUAACAUGCUACUCAGUGCAUGUAUGUCAUGACAUGUGUUUAUAGGGUUAGGUUUUACAGAAUGAACAACCCCAACUACCAAAUCACCCCCCAAGUCUAAACACUAAUCAUUUUCAACAUAAAAGCUCAAUUCUAGUGUACUACUCACCUUGGUAGCUUGUAUUUGAAAUUCUUCCCAACAACUUUCAAGCUAUUAUUAAAGCUUCCUCUUUCUCUCUCUAAAACACCUAACUAGUGAGAGAGAGUAUGGAAACAAGAUUUUUCAAGGGCUUCAAAGUGAAAGAGUGGAAGAGCACAAGGGUUUAUGAAAGAAGUGCACCAAAGCAUGAAAAGUGGAGCUAUUUUAAGGGAGGUUAUGGAGCUUUCAUAUCAAGCUUUCAUGGAGGAUGAAACCAACGUGAGAUGAGAGGAAGAAGAAGGAGAAAAGCUGCUGGAAGAACAAGAUAUUUAUAGCCCAUGCUUAUCUACUUCACUUAAAUUACGAAAAUGCCCCUCCACAAAUUAGCUUGUUCUCUUCCAAUCCUUUAUGCAAUCCUUUUACUCUUUUGACACUAGGACAAAGUCCAUAAUGGUCUAGAAAUGCUCGGGAUCAUGAAAACUUAAAAAUUUUGACUCGAGGUAAAAAAUGACCAUUUUGCCCUUACCAUGGAAAUCAUCAUCAUUUUUAUUUCUUUCAUCAUUUUACCCUUAUUUAAUCAUCCAUUUAUGCCUUAGGCCUACUUAGGCCAUAAUAUUGUUUAAAAUCUUACUUUUAGGGGCUUACUAAGGAAAUGAUGAAAUUACCCCUAAUUAGGGAUAUCGCAUCUAUUUCUAUCUACGAGUCUAUAAAGGUCAAAGUCUCACACAAUUGUCUAAUCAAGUUGCAUUAAAAUGUUAUAGUAAAAAUAUACAAUCAUUAAUAGUGGAACAUGUCACGACUCGAAACUCCCAUCGAGCCUGUGACAACCGCCGCAACGUCUCGAUAGUCAUUCAUUACCUGGAAUGCCAAUCGAAACCUUGCAAGGCUUAACAUCAGUUUUUCUCGCUUCCCUUGUGAGUAUUAGCACUAAAUUAUGUUUUGAGAGAUUAUAAACUAUUUCCAAACCAAAACAAUAGAAAAACAAUUUUUUCUCAUAGGGGCAUUUUGGUCAUUUUUCUUUAAAAAUUUCGAAAUCCACUAAAAAUAUAGUAUGCGAGUACAAAACACAUAAUCCAUAAUCAAAAAUAAGCUUAAACAUCUAAAACCUUCAUUUAAAUUUAAAUUAUGAUUAUUUGGAUAUAAUAAAAAAAUAAAAGAAAUAUUCAAUAAAAUAUUCUAUUUUCUUAAAAAAUAAUAUUUUAGAGUUAUACGUAAAUAAUUUUUUUUUGUAGUAGCGUAAAAGCAAAAUAAAUUCAUACAUACUGUAAUACAAUAAGUCAAAGUAUUUAAUUUAAUUUACAAUAACCAGUGAGCCCUAUAACAACUAAAAGUAAAGAAGACUGUGAACCUACAGUUUGGAGGAUGCAAAUGUAGUGAUAGCCUUAAUGAAAUCAACUAUCUAUAGACUAUCCUGAGCCUGAAAUGGGUGAAAAUGAGGGUGGUGAGAUUAUAUAAUCCUAGUGAGUAAACAAAUACCAUCUAAAAUAUCUAAAGUCGAGUAAAUGGAGACAAAUAAAAUAGUUUUAUAUACUGUAAUUCAUCACCUUUCAACUUGUUUCAACCAAAUAAAAUCAAUUCAUAUAAAUCGAGUAAUCAACAUGGCUUAUGAAUUUCUUAAAACUUUAGCUCGUGCCAAAAUCAUUCUCAUACCCAGUUAUCAGGGAUACCUUGAUCGAGGGCUAUCCUAACCGAGUCCGCCAAGGUUGUUAAAAAGUUAUGUACGCAUAAAUCAUGUUUUUAUUUUGAAAACAUAGUCAUUCCUUGGCGUUGGCUGAGUUCACCCUCACGUGGUGGUUUGGCGUGAAGUGAACUCUAAAGUUAUACCUCGAGAGUUACCCUACUCGCCUCUCCAACCGAGGUAAAAUAUAACGGGAUUUUGUGCCCUUCUAAUAGGCUGGUCCACAAAAAACCUGCCCACUACAGCAAGUUAAACCCACCAUAUAAUAAAAUUUGCAAUAGCAUGACAUGGUAAUUAUUUUAUUUUAUUUUACAGCCUUUCAAGGCAAAUCAACAAUUUAUACAUUUCCAACACAUUUAUCAAAUCAACCAUUCAUGCCAAUAUUGCCAUAAGCUAAUCAAUUAGAAUCAUGAAUUUACAACACACAAAAACAGUCUCCAAUUGCUCUAUUUUCAAACCAUCAUUCAAUUUUAAAACAAUUUUAUGAAAUCAUUUCAUUAAAUCACAUUUUGUUUAUAAAACCAAAAAAUUAAUCAUUUAAUUCAUUUUCCAUAAAAUUCACAAAAUCGAAUAAAACAUACUUUAGAUAAUUAAGAUGAUGAUAAGGUUACUCACUAUUUCGGGAGUCAAAUUCCAAGUACUCCGAUUCUUGAUCCUCGGGUACUAUCUCUUUACUUUUGCCAAAAUGCUCACCACCUAGACAGAAUGCACAAUAAGCCAUUUACUACAUUUGUGCUAAAUUAUUAUAAAACCAAUUCAAGCUUUAUACUGAUGUAUGAAAUGGGAUGCAAAUUGUUCGGAUUAUUGUCUAAACACGGUGUUCUACACAAAUUUAAUUGUGUACAUAAAUUAAACGGUAUUGACCUAAUUCGAUCUAUCACUCGAUUAAUUGGCCAGUACGUCCAAUUCAACUCCAAAUAAUUUCAUUUUUCUCUCAAUACUCCAAUCAUCAAACACAAAUUAAAUAACUUGAAAUAUGGCAAGAUCAUCCUCACAUUUUCUCUUGGAAAAUUCGGCCAUGGUGGGUGCACAUCACUAUAAUUUUUCCUACUUGAUUCUCACACCAUAAAUCACUAAUUCUUAACCAAAUCACUGAAAAUAAAAUCAAAAUCAUCCUCAAUAUUCCACAUGGAGAAUUCGGUCAAUGAUGGGUGAUGGAAGAACAUGAAUUUUUCUUGCUUGAUCUUCAUGCUACACAUCACUAACUAACUAAAAACACUAAAAUAUCUUAAAAUCUAACCAAAUCAAGCAUCAAAACUUCUCUCUAAAUGUUCAGCCAGCAAGAUACCCAUUAUGAAAUCAUGUGAUUCAACCAUGGAAAAUGCAAAAGAAUUCAUGGGAAAGGUAGAUCACAAGUCAAAAUCAAGAAAUUUUACCUUUGAUUGCUUGAUUACUUGAAAUCCACCAAUUUCUCUUGAAUUUUCACCCUAUGGUUCUUGUUCUUUCUUUUCUUCCUUUGUUCUUCCUUUGGC
rnacentral:lncRNA from 1 species